UACGUAGGGAGCAAGCGUUGUCCGGAAUCAUUGGGCGUAAAGCGCGCGUAGGUGGCCCGGUAAGUCCGCUCUGAAAGUCACAGGCUCAACCUGUGAAAGCGGGUGGAUACUGCCGGGCUAGAGUCCGGAAGAGGCGAGUGGAAUUCCUGGUGUAGCGGUGGAAUGCGCAGAUAUCAGGAGGAACACCAACGGCGAAGGCAGCUCGCUGGGACGGUACUGACGCUGAGACGCGAAAGCGUGGGGAGCGAACAGG
rnacentral:rRNA from 1 species